AGCGAACGCUGGCGGCAGGCCUAACACAUGCAAGUCGAACGAACUCUUCGGGCUUGGUGGCGGACGGGGGGGUAACAGGUGGGGACGUGCCUUUUGGUUCGGAAUAACUCAGGGAAACUUGUCCUAAUACCGACUGUGCUCUUCCAGGGGAAGGUUUAUCGCCAUUAGGGGGGCCUGCGUCUGAUUAGCUAGUUGGGGAGGUAACUGCUCAUCAAGGGGUGGAUAAGUAGCUGGGUUGAGAGGAUGACCCGCCACACUGGGGCUGAGACACGGCCCAGACUCCUACGCGAGGGAGGAGUGGGGAAUCUAGCGAAAUGGGCGAAGGGAUGACGCAGCCAGGCCGGGUGAAUGAUGAAGGUCUUAGGAAUGUGAAAUUCUUUCACAGGGGGCGAUAAUGACGGUACCCGGAGAAGAAGCCCCGGCUAACUUCGUG
rnacentral:rRNA from 1 species